ACAGAACAAAAACAGUGCUCGUGGGGACGAAGAGUGCACUUGUCCGGAGCUCCUCUCCUGGCUAAAGCCCCCCACCCCACCCCCAGGGUCACCCGGACCAGUGUUCCCACAUUAGCCACAGAUUCCACACUCAGCACCACACUGGGGGCGAGCCCACGUGGUCCCUGCCCGUGAAGCCAUCACCGCCUCGAUGGGGAGAUGCAGCUGACACAGCAUGCCUCCUCGCCUGAAGAGCUAGAAUAACUGGUGAGGACUACGUGAGCCCCAAGGUAGCCGUGUGCUCUGUAAACGCAACCACACGACGUUCCAGAAAUGGAGAGCACCACGAGCAUCUCAAACUCUUUGCAUUCUUAAGUUGAUCCAGCCCAUGACCCACCGCUCCACCACCACCUGCUACUUAGUGAGCAGGAAGACAUGCCACACACACGCCGCAGGCAAUGGACUGAGCCACACACUCUACCCAGUGGGCACAGUCCACGCUCUGCGGCUGCGCGCCCUGGGAGAAGGGGGCUGCGGCAGGGGCUUUCUGCCUCAGCUUUCUAAGUAAAGAGGCCUUGGAUGAGAUCAGCCACCUGCCUGGUCAUCCACCCAGGCCUGGUCCUGUCCAAGCCACCCUCUGGGGUGAGCCUGCCACCCCUUGGAGUACAGGUGGGAUUCGUAGCCCUACUCAGAAAACCCUCAACAGUCCCCCUGAAUAAAAGCAAAACUUUCUCAUGUU